AACUUUCAACAACGGAUCUCUUGGUUCUGGCAUCGAUGAAGAACGCAGCGAAAUGCGAUAAGUAAUGUGAAUUGCAGAAUUCAGUGAAUCAUCGAAUCUUUGAACGCACAUUGCACCCAGUGGUAUUCCGCUGGGUAUGCCUGUUCGAGCGUCAUUU
rnacentral:rRNA from 1 species